rnacentral:rRNA from 1 species
AAACUUUCAACAACGGAUCUCUUGGUUCUGGCAUCAUGAAGAACGCAGCGAAAUGCGAUAAGUAAUGUGAAUUGCAGAAUUCAGUGAAUCAUCGAAUCUUUGAACGCACAUUGCGCCCGCCAGCAUUCUGGCGGGCAUGCCUGUCCGAGCGUCAUUU